rnacentral:rRNA from 1 species
UACGAAGGGGGCUAGCGUUGCUCGGAAUCACUGGGCGUAAAGGGUGCGUAGGCGGGUUUUUAAGUCAGAGGUGAAAUCCUGGAGCUCAACUCCAGAACUGCCUUUGAUACUGAGAAUCUUGAGUUCGGGAGAGGUGAGUGGAACUGCGAGUGUAGAGGUGAAAUUCGUAGAUAUUCGCAAGAACACCAGUGGCGAAGGCGGCCUUCUGGACCAAUACUGACGCUCAUGCACGAAAGCGUGGGGAGCAAACAGG